CUGGGAUGAAGUCGUAACAAGGUAGCCCUACCGGAAGGUGGGGCUGGAUCACCUCCUUUUAAGGA
rnacentral:rRNA from 1 species